rnacentral:rRNA from 1 species
ACGGGUGAGUAACACGUGAGUAACCUGCCCUUGACUCUGGGAUAACCUCCGGAAACGGAAGCUAAUACCGGAUAUGACGUACGGAGGCAUCUCCUGUACGUGGAAAGAAUUUCGGUCAAGGAUGGACUCGCGGCCUAUCAGGUAGUUGGUGAGGUAACGGCCCACCAAGCCUACAACGGGUAGCCGGCCUGAGAGGGUGACCGGCCACACUGGGACUGACACACGGCCCACACUCCUACGGGAGGCAGCAGUGGGGAAUAUUGCACAAUGGGCGCAAGCCUGAUGCAGCAACGCCGCGUGAGGGAUGACGGCCUUCGGGUUGUAAACCUCUUUUAGUAGGGAAGAAGCGAAAGUGACGGUACCUGCAAAAAAAGCACCGGCUAACUACGUGCCAGCAGCCGCGGUAAUACGUAGGGUGCGAGCGUUGUCCGGAAUUAUUGGGCGUAAAGAGCUCGUAGGCGGUCUGUCGCGUCUGCUGUGAAAACCCGAGGCUCAACCUCGGGCCUGCAGUGGGUACGGGCAGACUAGAGUGCGGUAGGGGAGAAUGGAAUUCCUGGUGUA